rnacentral:rRNA from 1 species
AGAACGAACGCUGGCGGCAUGCCUAAUACAUGCAAGUCGAACGAAGGCUUCGGCCUUAGUGGCGCACGGGUGCGUAACGCGUGGGAAUCUGCCCCUUGGUUCGGAAUAACAGUUGGAAACGACUGCUAAUACCGGAUGAUGACGAAAGUCCAAAGAUUUAUCGCCAAGGGAUGAGCCCGCGUAGGAUUAGCUAGUUGGUGAGGUAAAGGCUCACCAAGGCGACGAUCCUUAGCUGGUCUGAGAGGAUGAUCAGCCACACUGGGACUGAGACACGGCCCAGACUCCUACGGGAGCAGCAGUAGGGAAUAUUGGACAAGUGGGACGAAAGCCUAGAU